rnacentral:tRNA from 1 species
GCGGAAGUGGCGGAAUUGGCAGACGCGCAAGGUUGAGGGCCUUGUGGGAGCAAUCCUGUAAGGGUUCAAGUCCCUUCUUCCGCACCA